CUUGCACAAUUGGUGGCUGACUAAAUACUUUUUUGCCCCACUGUAUAUUUGUGUAUGUCAGGAGACUUUAGGUCAGGCAGAGGAUGAAACCAUCCAGGAGGACUCAACGUCCUGUUUAGUGGAGGUGACUCACUGCAAGCCCUGCAUCUCUGUGAUGACAUCACCACCACCGUAGGAGUGACUUCAUCUGGGCUUCUGGAGGUUAUACUGAACGGAUCCUUCUCAGACGUCCUUUACCAUGUUGCCACAGAAACACUGUCUCUCCAGUUAGAGCACAGCUGGACGUCCCAUCCUGUGGCCAAGAAACAUCCAGCAGACCCUGUCUCCUCAGCACAGCCCAAGAGACCGCAUACAGACCCUGUCUCCUCAGCACAGCCCAAGAGACCGCAUACUGACCCUGUCUCCUCAGCACAGCCCAAGAGACCACAUACAGACCCUGUCUCCUCAGCACAGCCCAAGAGACCGCAUACAGACCCUGUCUCCUCAGCACAGCCCAAGAGACCGCAUACAGACCCUGUCUCCUCAGCACAGCCCAAGAGACCGCAUACAGACCCUGUCUCCUCAGCACAGCCCAAGAGACCUCAUACAGACCCUCCAGAGACGCCACUGGGAGUUGUCAUUUAUUCUGUGAAGAGGGCUUUAAGAUGUACUGUGGUAAGGAGACCAGGGGAGGUUGUAGAGAUGGGUCAUUCAGACCCUUUGAGGACCAAUGAAAACUCAGACUCAGAGGGACCAAUCAUAAGAACAAGAAGUACACUCACACAGGAAAAAAGAGCACAGAAUCCAGCCACUCCCAGACAUUUGGGUCCAAUAAGAGGACAGAACACAGCCAUUCCUAGGCAGUGGAAACCAAUGAGCCUAGUGCUAGCAGUGUUAUCCCUCCCCUUAGAGAGGCUGUGGGUCUGGAGAUGAGGGUGACCUGGCAGUCAGACAAGAGAGGUGUGUGGAUGCCUCCAGUCCUGCUGGUCCAGAGAGGAGGCCCCAGGGCCACAGUGUGCAUUGGUUCCCAUUCCCACAGGAUGCAGGCCCUGGACCUGGUCACUGGGGGGUGUUGUGUUGUAGAGGGUCUCAGGACAGGAUCGAGUCCUCUGCUGCUGUGUCCCGAUGUGGAAGACUCAUCGUGGUUGGUCAGCAUCCACAUAAAGCAUCUGUUUUUUGGUUAUGUUUAAUUUAGUCUUCUGUUCUAUGUCUAUUCUACAGUGUAUAUUGAGGGUCUAUGCUGUGUGUUAACUGUGUUUAAUCUCAGGGCGCUAUGAUGGUUGUGUGUGUUAACUGUGUUUAAUCUCAGGGUGCUAUGAUGGUUGUGUGUGUUAACUGUGUUUAAUCUCAGGGCGCUAUGAUGGUUGUGUGUGUUAACAUUUACAUUUUACAUUUUAGUCAUUUAGCAGACGCUCUUAUCCAGAGCGACUUACAAAUUGGUGCAUUCACCUAUAAUAUCCAGUGGAACAACCACUUUACAAUAGUGCAUCUAAAUCUUUUAAGGGGGGGGUUAGAAGGAUUACUUUAUCCUAUCCCAGGUAUUCCUUGAAGAGGUGGGGUUUCAGGUGUCUCCGGAAGGUGGUGAUUGACUCCGCUGUCCUGGCGUCGUGAGGGAGCUUGUUCCACCAUUGGGGUGCCAGAGCAGCGAACAGUUUUGACUGGGCUGAGCGGGAACUGUGCUUCCUCAGAGGUAGGGAGGCGAGCAGGCCAGAGGUGGAUGAACGUUAACUGUGUUUAAUCUCAGGGUGCUAUGAUGGUUGUGUGUGGAGUCUGGGGAGACAGUGGGUGUUUGAGACUGGAGAUGCUGUCCUACUGUGGACCCCCUCGCAGGCUUGGUGAUGGUGGGGUCGCAGGAUGGCCACGUCUAUGCCCUUGACCCACAGGUGUGUGCGUGUGCAUACCUUUCUUUCAAGUGUAAAUCUUGCAUCACAUGCUCAGUACUGUAUAAUUGUGUUUUUGUGUGUAUUCUAGGUUCGGCAGUGUGUGGACGCAUCACUGUGGGAGUGGAGAUGUGUUCUCCUCACCCUGUCUCCAUCCCUCUCUGACAGAAGUGUGUCGCCACCCUUGGUGGAAGCUUCCUCUGUCUCCAUCCUGACACUGGUAUUGUCCUGUAGAUGUAUUCCAGGAAGACUACAUUUUUCUCCAUCCCAAGCUGCUUCAUUGGAAACCUAAUCAUCGGCUCUGUGGAUGGAAACAUCUGCUGCCUCAGCCACACAGGGAAAAUGCUGUGGCAGUAUGUGACCAAGGGCAGUCUUCUCAUCCCCCUGCAUCACACUAGACAAGUAGAGCAUUGUGUGUGGGUCACAUGACAGGUGUGUGUACUGUCUGAACUGUGCUGACGGCUCAUUGGUGUGGCGCUACCAGAGGGUGUACUCCAGCCCCUGUUUGUUUGAGGGGUCACCCUGAGGUAUGGAAGGUACAUUGGUGGGCCUGGCCUCCACAGAUGGGACCCUGUGUGUUCUGGAUGGAGAGAAUGGAACUCUGAGAGCCUCUCUCUGCCCAGGGAGCUCCUCUCCUGUGGUGUGGCAGCGCCCCUGGUGGUCGGAUGACGCAAUGACAUUGUGUACUGUGUGGAGCCGACAGAUGAGCUCAAAUAGUUUCCUGAGAUGACAUGUAUGACAUCAUGUAUUUUUGUACUAUGUUAUAAUAUUAAAGAAUAAUAUAGGAAACAAAUGCAAAGUAUUGAUACUAAUUUGGAGAAGGAAUAUGACUUGAGGCUUUGAGU